AUUUAAACAACAAAUUUUGUUCACUAUCUAAUUUGUGUAAACAACAAAUUUGCUUGGGUUGUGAGGUUUCCUCAUUACAGAACUAUUUAAAUAAAUCUAUGAUCCCUAGAGGUCUUUGAGUCCAAGUUGCUCCUAACACUCAGAUGGACGAUCCCUCUUUGCUACAAGAAUGGGAGGAGGCGGCUAAUGUCUGCUCCAGAUAAUUUAUGGACAUCAUCUGCAGAUUUGAGUCCCAGAGGCAAAUAUCAGACUACUAUUAAGAGUAG